AUUUACAUCGACGUUCUUCAGUGUUAAAGGUUCACCUGAUGAGUGAUAUGGAGGAAUUAUUUUAAGUUUGCUCAUAAGAUAACUGUUUCAUUGUGUUUGUCCCUUCACGGUGGAUGGCAGAGUGUCCAGACCUGCACCUGACAGACAUGAAGGACCUCUGUCCACCUCAAAGACCAACCCGGAUGUGUCUGAGGAUAGAAGGGAGGACCAGCUGAGUCCUGAUGAUCCAGAGAGGUUGAAGCAGCAGCAGCUUGUGGGUGGAGAGGCUCCCCAAUCAAAGGACACUUUGAGUUUCACACCUGAGCAGCUGACUGAGUCUGGAAAGACGUCAUACAGGUUCAGGUGU